rnacentral:rRNA from 1 species
ACUCCUACGGGAGGCAGCAGUGGGGAAUAUUGCACAAUGGGGAAACCCUGAUGCAGCCAUGCCGCGUGUGUGAAGAAGGCCUUCGGUUGUAAAGCACUUUCAGUAGGGAGGAAGGUAGUGUAGUUAACACCUGCAUUAUUUGACGUUACCUACAGAAGAAGCACCGGCUAACUCCGUGCCAGCAGCCGCGGUAAUACGGAGGGGUGCGAGCGUUAAUCGGAAUUACUGGGCGUAAAGCGCAUGCAGGCGGCCUGUUAAGUCAGAUGUGAAAGCCCGGGGGCUUAACCUCGGAAUUGCAUUUGAAACUGGCAGGCUAGAGUCUUGUAGAGGGGGUAGAAUUUCAGGUGUAGCGGUGAAAUGCGUAGAGAUCUGAAGGAAUACCAGUGGCGAAGGCGGCCCCCUGGACAAAGACUGACGCUCAGAUGCGAAAGCGUGGGAGCAAACAGGAUUAGAUACCCUGGUAGACUGUCA